GACGAACCGAGCGAACGUUGUUCGGAAUCACUGGGCGUAAAGGGCGCGUAGGCGGCCCGCCGCGUCCGGGGUGAAAUCCCUCGGCUCAACCGGGGAACCGCCUCGGGUACGGGCGGGCUGGAGGCGGGGAGGGGCGUGCGGAACGCCGGGUGGAGCGGUGAAAUGCGUUGAUAUCCGGCGGAACUCCGGUGGCGAAGGCGGCACGCUGGGCCCGAUCUGACGCUGAGGCGCGAAAGCCAGGGGAGCGAACGGG
rnacentral:rRNA from 1 species